rfam:Actinospica robiniae DSM 44927 genomic scaffold ActroDRAFT_ARA.1, whole genome shotgun sequence.
ACGAAGCUCCCGCAGCGACCAUCCUCGGAGCCGGGGACCCAAUGAGUACCAGGCACUCAACCGUGCCGGUCCCCCGGGGUGAAUCGGCCCCCUCUUCACCAACGACGCCCACGACGUGCUUAUGCGUCCGUGUCUUCGUCGCCCGGUGUGGGGGCUGUAGGGCGAACUCCCCUUCCGCCCGAACCCGUCAGCUAACCCGGUAGGCGGCCGAAGGAGAGGCU